CACACGUCCUGGUGUCUUUGGAUUACAACACCCAUCAGCUCCAGACCCAGCAGGUUUCCUUCAGGUGUGCCUCUGUCAAUGUGGUCCAGGGAUGGGAGACGAUUAUCUUUUGGUCUCCAUUUUAAGUUUAGCCUACCUGUGCUUCCCAAAACAAUCAACAACCCAAAAUGUGAUUCCUCCAAAAUCCUCACUUCUCUGAAUUUUGCAUGAUGUGGUUCCAAUUCUCCCCAAAAUGUGUGUGAGCGUGAAGCAUGCAUGGAAAUUAUUAUUAAUUUUAUUUGUAUUUGUUCUUGACUAUCCCACCUUUUUUUUUUUUUUUAUAAUAUUUUUUAUUGCAUUUUUCCAGAUAGAAAUACAAGGUCAGAUGUACAAAGAAAUAACAGAAAAAAGAAAGAAAAAGAAGAAAAUCAUCUUUUCAAAGCAUUUUUCCAUAACCAACCGGACUUCCCCCCGUCCCCCUCACCUUGCGUUCUUUACAAUAAAAUUUUUCAGCAAAUUAUAACCUUAUUUCGUGCAUUCUUUUGUUCUUUCAAAUACUUGUG